UGGCCUUGAGAUUGGUGGAAACUAGUGGUC
rnacentral:piRNA from 1 species